AUGUAUCUCCCAGAUGCAGAGGCCGGGGGUCAUCCUCCUUUUCUAAAAAAAAAUAAACCAAUAUUUCUGUUGCAUCGUAUCCUAUAUAGUUUUUUCGUGAGAAUGAUAUUAUUGACAGAUUUAUUAAUGUAUAUGUCUAUGUGGUGUGAGAUAUUAGCUUGGUUUGUCAGAAUGUGUUUCUCCUUGACGCUAAUUAUAGAUGUGCUUCCUGGUUUCAAAGAAGGACAGCAGAGAAUGUCAGAGAAGGAUCCACUGUCAGCUAUUUUUAUGGAAGACACUGAGUCUGAGGUUACGAAAAAGAUAAAGAAGGCUUUCUGCCCUCCCAAGAUUACUCAAGGAAACCCAUGCUUGGAGUACGUAGAGCAUAUCGUUCUCCCUUGGUUUAGAGAGUUCGAGGUGGUCCCACCUGAUGGCGGUAACAGGACCUACGUAGGAAUCGAAGAACUCCGCGAGGAUUACGGCAGUGGCACUCUACAUCCCCGUGAUCUGAAACCUGCUCUUGCAAAAGCAAUAAACCAGAUAUUGCAGCUUGUACGUGAUCACUUCGAGAAAAAUUGCGAAGCCAAAGGUCCGUGUGACGAUGUAAAGUGA
rnacentral:rRNA from 1 species